ACAGGUGCUGCAUGGCUGUCGUCAGCUCGUGUCGUGAGAUGUCGGUUAAGUCCGCUAACCGAGCGCAACCCUCACUGUGUGUUAUACGUGUCACACGGGACUGCCGGUUUUAAGCCGGAGGAAGGUGGGGAUGACGUCAAGUCAGCAUGGCCUUUAUAUCCUGGGCUACACACACGCUACAAUGGUCGGUACAAUAGGUUGCCAAGCCGCGAGGCGGAGCCAAUCCAUAAAGCCGGCCUCAGUUCAGAUUGUAGGCUGCAACUCGCCUGCAUGAAGAUGGAGUUGCUAGUAACCGCAGGUCAGCAAUACUGCGGUGAGUACGUUCCCGGGUCUU
rnacentral:rRNA from 1 species